UAGGGAAUUUCCACAAUGGACGAAAGUCUGAUGGAGCAACGCCGCGUGAACGAUGAAGGUCUUCGGAUUGUAAAGUUCUGUUGUCAGGGACGAAUAAGUACCGUUCGAACAGGGCGGUACCUUGACGGUACCUGACGAGAAAGCCACGGCUAACUACGUG
rnacentral:rRNA from 1 species